rnacentral:rRNA from 1 species
UACGUAGGGGGCAAGCGUUGUCCGAUUUAUUGGGCGUAAAGAGCGUGUAGGCGGCUUGGUAGGUCUGCUGUGAAAACUCGGGGCUCAACCCCGAGACGUCGGUGGAAACCACCUGGCUAGAGUCCGGAAGAGGAGAGUGGAAUUCCUGGUGUAGCGGUGAAAUGCGUAGAUAUCUGGAGGAACACCGGUGGCGAAGGCGGCAUCCUGGACCGGCAUUGACGCUGAGGCGCGAAAGCCAGGGGAGCAAACGGG